AGAACGAACGCUGGCGGCAUGCCUAAUACAUGCAAGUCGAACGAACACUUCGGUGUUAGUGGCGCACGGGUGCGUAACGCGUGGGAAUCUGCCCUUGGGUUCGGAAUAACAGUUGGAAACGACUGCUAAUACCGGAUGAUAUCGAAAGAUCAAAGAUUUAUCGCCCAGGGAUGAGCCCGCGUAGGAUUAGCUAGUUGGUGAGGUAAAGGCUCACCAAGGCGACGAUCCUUAGCUGGUCUGAGAGGAUGAUCAGCCACACUGGGACUGAGACACGGCCCAGACUCCGUACGGGAGCAGCAGUAGGGAAUAGUUGGACAAUGGGCGCAAGCCUGG
rnacentral:rRNA from 1 species